CAAAUUCUAAGUGGAGUCCUGUGUCUGGAAGAGAAGGGACCAGAGGAAGAGGGCAGGUCCUUUCUGGGGCUCCUGAGAAAGAGUUGAGAACAAUGGGCAAACACAGGGUAAAAAUCUCUGACCAAAAUGCAACCAGCCCGGCUGCAUACUACCCCCCUCUGCUGAAAGCCUGGUCUGGGAAAGCACAGAAAUAACGUGCACACAACAGCAAGAAGAACAGUAAGAAGAGUCAGAGAGGCAGUGUGAAGGCAACUGAAGUACCAAGGAGCAGAGAUGCAGGAGCAUUAAGGGGUGCUGAGUAAUGGCCCUGGAAUCGGUGAACUACCUGAGAUUUAUCUAAGCCUAGAAAGCCAUGGGCGUCACAGAGACACUGAGUCACCGGAGCGCUGCGUGCGCUCCCCUGAGAAGGAAGGCACAACUGGAAUGCACUGAGCUGUUCUGCAAACAAUACGAGCUUUGGCCAUUUCUUCACUAGACAGCUGGCCCCGCGGCUACUAGCGGGUUCACCGUGGGGUUGUGGGAUGCCUGACAGACCUGCAGAGCAGCUUUCCUGCAGUUCCAGGGAAACUCAUUCAGGUGCAAAUGGCUCUUUCCAGGCACAGCUUGGCUCUUUGGCCUCUGGAGAGAAACAAAGCCUCUAUAUUGCUUUGGCAGGCAGGGCUCCCAGCUGCCGUGUUGGGGGAGGACUGUUAAACUGUCUGAAAUGCCGUGGCUUACUCCAGCCAUCGAUAGCAGUAACCCAGCCUAGCCUGGGCUAAGGGUGCUGCUCCUGCAUGUCCAUGGUCUAUGCUGAACUGCUUGGAGGUAUCUGACCUUUUUUCCUUAGGGUGCAGCCUGGGCUUGUGCCUGGUUAGUGAUGACAUGGGGUGUUGCUCCUUUGGGGAUUCCUGCUGCCUGGACCCCUCUUUGCUUUUGUUUUCCUUCCACAUAUUGCAAGAGGAGAGGUGAGACUCCAGCCCCACCCCCCGGCCCUAUAUGAUAGGCACCCUGCUCCAGUCGCUGUACCAGACAGCCUUAAAGUGACAACUGAACCUACUCCCAGUGACCUACCUAGGCUGUGUAAGUCUGUGUGCAGGGCUUUCUCGUUGUUCAGAAGGACUUUGCAGAAGGCAGGCCUGGCUCAACCAGGCAGAGCUGCUUUCUCGUUCUGGGGUAGAUUCCUUCAAGCAGGGGAAUUCCUCAGAGUCUUCCCAUAACUUGUGUGAUGUUCUGAACUUGCAUCCGAGCGGUGACAGCUGCUGAAGGACUCCUCACCAGCACUGAAUAUGACUGACACUUCAAAUUGUUGUGUAGCAUGAAGCACAAGGAGGUGGCAGUGAGUCCAUCCUGUUCCUCCCUCCCCCUGAACAUCAAGGCUCUUGGGUCUCAUCUCAUAGCAGAUAUGCAAUAUGUGGCCUAUUCCAGUCUGACGUUGCAUCCAAGUUGAGCUACCACAGAACAAAACCUUGGUGCUAAUGAAUGGUGCCAGGGCCUUGCUGGAGUCAGCGCUGAGCAGGUAGCCCACAGCCCAUCUGGAGAGAGGGAGGGAGAUACAAAUAGCAUGCUAUAUGCAUAGAGAGAGAACCAGAGUUGUGGUUUGUAGUUAUGCAAGAUUAGGGAAGACAAAUUUUUUUUGGCCUGAGAGAUUUGUGAAUCAUUUUAGAGACCCUGUUCUUGGCAGCUGGAGGCACAGAGGAGUGUGUUAGUGGCUGUUUGGAGGAUUGAGGUAUGUUUAUACAGAGCAGGGUUUGGUCAGGAAGGCCAGAAGGGAGCAUCUCGGAGGCACCUUCUGACGUUCACUAAAAACAGCGGCAUGCAGUUUCCUCUAGUGCCAGUGUUACGUUCUGGGGAUUGAGUCCUGGCUACCAUGCUCUGGGACUCGCUGAGCAUUGCUAGGUACAUGUUAUCUGAGGUUGGUCAUAGCAGCAUAGCUUUAUCUGCUGUCACAUAUUUGCUGUGAGGGGGAAGAAGACCCAAACAGAGCUCUCUGUAGACAGAGUGGGUUUGAUAGCAGAUUCCCAGGGUUGCCCUCAAUGGAAUCCGUGCUUCAAGGAGCUUCACAUGGGCCUUGGGAACAGUCUGACCCAGGCCUUUGAGAUGCUGCCUCUGUCUCACUGACUGGAGUAAGGCUUGUGGACCAGGAACUAGUGCAGACUGUUUGACUUUCAGACAUUCCUGUCUUGCUGUGUUCAUGCUAUAGCUCCAGCCAAGGCUCUCAAGGAUCUCAGCCAAGAGAGACAAAAGGACAGACACGUGUCACUGCAGUGUCCAGCGUGGUGCAUGGAAAAACCCAGCUUCCUGGACCCCAGCCUGCUUCAGAGCUCCGCUGGAGGCAGUCUGUCCUCCAACUUCUACAUAAACCACUUAUGGAGAUGAGACGGGACUUGAGGUUCAUAAAUGCCCGCUGAAACGCUCUGGAACAUGAGUUUAUUGGCCUUGAAGCAUUAACUGUUUCAGUUAUGGUGGCAGCUCUCAAGGGCGCUGACUUUUUCCAUCACAGCCUUAUAGUUGGGUAAAUAAGGCCAAGGUUUACCUAGCACGUGUCUAUCCAUCUCUGGUCUGAAUCCUUUCCCAACAUGUAUUGCUCUUCAAACUGUUCCUUUCUGCUUGUAGGGUAGCUGCAUUUGUGUCAUGGUAAGGUGACUCCAGUCAUAGCAAGGAAAGAGAAACAAUCAUGGGUGGAGGAAUUGUAGAGACACUUCUGUGAGCAGCUCCUUCCUACUGCUUUCACCUCCUGUUUCUUUGGCCCGGCGAGUGGCCCUUCAGGACCGAAGCCCGCUGAGAUCAACAGGAGUUUUUUUGCUUGCUUUGGAUACUUUGGGUCUGACCCACAGCUAUGGAGAUACGGGGAAGACCUGCUUGGGAGGCGCUGCUGCUUGUUGAGAGGAUGGCUGAGUGCUGAGGAUGACGUCUAUGUUGCAGGCUGCAUCGAGGAGAUUAUCAGACCUAGCUGUAAAGGAGCUGAUUUGGGUAUUGGAUGCGGUCUGGCUGUGGUGGCGCAGAGCUCAAUGUGGGCUAAUUUAUCUACUUCUCCAAAGGUUAAAUAAGCCCCAGUGGAGUCCUGUUCAGCAGUAGCUAGUCUGCUUUUGGUGCGGAGGCCAGCCCAGCUGUCUAUUCGAUGCUGCCGCCCGCAGACGUAACCAGAAGUGGGUGGCUUUUCCCUGUGAAAGAGUCCCGUGCUAAAGGCUUGUCUGCCUAGGGAAUGACCUUCUCGUCAGCCAGCUCCCUUCUCUAAUACGCUUGACAGGAAGCAGAAGAGUUUGGCAAAGAGCCCCAUAUGCAUGAAGCCAAUUCCAUUUCUCACGGCUGUCAAAAUGUGAAAAUUGCCUCAUCUAAAACCUAACGGGGGAGAUCAGGGAAAAAUCCACCUUUAUUACAAGGGAAGCUCCUGGGGAGAUGAGCUCUGGCCUUCUCACAUUUACCUCGGAUGUGAGUUAUUAGCCUAUAAAGUGCCAGGACAGGCCGUUCCGUUUGGGCUAUGAUAACAGGUUGUUAAUGAGGUCUCACUGAGCUCUAGAGACCCAAUUUAUGAACUUGGUGUAUCAGACACUAAACAAGCCAGUGCUCGUGUGUUUGUAAUGAGAGCUGGGUCAAACCCAAGACUCCCUGCACCUCGGAGGAGGCCGAAGGGGCAAGAACAGGUUUUUGGGGGCAAACCCCUCACUCAUCUGGGCUGCUGGAAAUGUGCUAGGUCUGAGUAUUGUACCUCUGGGAAAACCAUCUCCGGUGCCUUUGGGGGUCAGUGUUCAAUGGUAGGGUGAUCCCAGCAGGGGUUGUUUUUGGGGCAGUAUCUCAUAGGUGGUGGUGGGCUCUGGAACAGCUCCUACCAAUCCAGGGGGAAGCUGGGCAGUAUAUAAUACCCCACCUACCUUGGAUCUCUGAACAUGCAUGUAAGGAGAUCGGUGAGCAGAGCCACUUAUUCUCAAGCUUUUCCUUUCCAGCAAAUUGGUACAAAGGCUGGUCAAACCCAUGUUUACUUUCCUCUGUCUUGAAGAGAAGGGAAUAUAAACUGACCAUACUCGGUCAUCAUGAGGAUGAAAGAGAAGGGGUUUUCCCCUGGGAGAAGGGAGACUUUUCCCCCUCCUUCUGUGUUUGGGAUUUAUCAGAAAUGUAACCUGUGCACUCACCUCCUGUAAUGUAUCUUCAUCCAGCUCUUCCUCCUUCCUCUAUGCACAGAAUGUCCUAUCUGGGGUACGGAGGUGCAGUUAUAAUUCUUCCAAAACCAACAGGAUAAAAACAGUGUUUGCAGCUUUUGGUGAGCUUACACCUUACCCUAAUCUUGUUGACGCCUCCUAUCACCUAGGGUCACUUCUGAAUGGGAGCUUUGCCCUUGACUUUGUUUCUUCCAUAGUAAAUCCUGUUCUUUCCAAAUGGGGCAAACUGUUGAUCCCUUCCAGGUCCUUAGUUUUUCAUAAUGGGUUUUCUUGUUAAAGAUGUGUCUUGCUUUCCUGAGGUGUGAUGCUACCAUCUUCUGGUUAAAACCAGUAAUGUCUCCACCCUGUUUCUUUAACUAGUGGCUCUUUCCACAUUGUGGAUGUGAAACCAGACACGUAAAUCAAAGUAUGAUACUGUCAUCUACCAAAUACAACUGGGCAUGGAGACUGGUCUUCUAAAAAUGUAAUUUGUACCAGGUGGGGCAUGCCUUCUUCCUAAUCCUUUCUUUAAACGCUUGUUUGGGACUUGUGCCUACAAAGGACUUUGUGCAAGCCCUAUCUCAUGCAUCUUAUGCAUGGUGGUAUUCAGACCCCUACAUUAGGCUCCUGCCAAAAUGCAAGCCCUUCCUAUACUUUUAGCUGAAGAACCAGAGCCCUGCUUCCCCUUCUGAGGUUAAAUACUUCUUUGGCAAUCCCUUGGAGUCGAGGAUGAUAGGGCAAUCACGGAGGGCAAUCUGUGGAUCCAAAUAUGCCUGCCAAGGCUAAUGUGGGGUUGACAGAGCCUGUUGCAACAUGGGCACGCAUUUCCAUGUGGGGUAUUACAAUGACACCUUUGGAUACCAAUCAGGGGUGGGGACCUCAUUGGGCAAGACAUUGAAUACCCCCACUCUGCCCAAAAUGGCACUCCGUUUUCAAUAUAAGUAGCGAUUUAUUUUACCAUCUGCUGAAGGAAGAGCGAAACUAUACAGAGCCUGUCACUGCAACUUUUUCUGUGUUUGUCUUCCACCAUCCAGAUCUAGGCACUCAACACUUGCAAGUAAACUCCUUCAUAUCCAGGAAGGAACUGUUUUAGCAGGGCAGUCAAUUUUCUGUUGACUGCAGGGGGGAAAAAUGGGCUUUCAAUGAAACUAAAUUAAUGACUGAGCCUUCCUGAAGUAUUGUCCAUUGAAAACUAAAACUUUCCCCAGCCUCUUUGGCCAAUUGAUCAUCUAGUUUCUGGCUGAAAAACUUAGGUUUUACCCCCUUCUCUGUCCCUUUCUCCCUUAAUUGUGGAAAUAAAAUGCACAAAUCUGGAAGGGAAACACAGGAAAUGUGUGAAAGCAUAGUAAGGCUAAGGAAGUUGCCCUCUUACUGUCUACUUUCCUGAAAAUCCCUGUCCUCCCUGAUGAGUUAGUAGGGCUGGUCAGGAAAUGUUUUUUUUUUUU